rfam:Anopheles maculatus strain maculatus3 cont1.8972, whole genome shotgun sequence.
GGUAGCGAUACUGCACUGGUUAGGUAUGGAUCCGAAGCCUCUUGAAGGUCAACAAAGGCUCUCCAUACCCUACUUCGACUCAAUACGUCCUCGGCGUAUAGAACGGUAACAUGUCUCUCCGAAUAUCUGAGCUUGGGUAUACGGGGAAACCCAACCCCUUGGGAAGAUGAUUGAUAUGGCAAAAUUGAGCGGA